AGGCAGUUUGUGAAAUGGUCACAUUAUUUAAUCUAUUGAUUUGUGUACACGGACAUGUUCAUUUCGUUUUUUACGUGGUGGUCAACACAUUUUUUAAACUGAUGUAUUUCAAUGGGAAGCAUGUUUUGUGAUCACAGCACGACUAUAGUAGCGAGUAGUAUGAAAUGCUGAAACCCCACGC